GUCCACCACUGCCACUGUAGAAUAAGGGAGAGGGGGCUGCGGAUCCCUUUGGCAGUGAGCAGGCAGGGGAAGAGGCAGGAGGGCCAAGGCUGGUGAGUCAAGGAGAGGGCUCAGGAGCCAGGUCUGCACCCGGGAGAAGGGGUUCUGGGGCACUGGACUGCACCCUCCAGACGUGCCUGGAGAGAUGGCCCAGGGAAGGGAAGCCACAGGAAGGAAGAGGCGUCCAGGACAUUCCACGAGGCCUGGGUUGGCUCCCCAGGGGCAAGGCUGAAGGUAGAGGAGCUCUGGGGUCCAAUUUGGCAUGGGCUGAUGGGGCUGGGAAGUGGGAGACUUCCUGGGCAGAGUGAGAACCUGCAGCGAGAAGCCAGACGAGGGUGGAGGGGAGCGCUAGCCGGACAGACUCCCGCCCAGGGGGGCCCCUGACCCAGCAGCUGCAGCCUCCCUCGAUGCAGUGGCCAGCACAGAUGACGUGCCCUUUGCAGUGCCCCAGGCCCCAGGUGGGAGGGCUAGCAGGAUUCCCAGUGGCAUGCCCCUGCUCCUGAGUGGAGGGGUGGCUAGCCAGGAAGGGGGCUUGGCGAGGGUCAGGGUGCAGGCCCCAUCUGCUCCCCCUUGUUCCUGGCAAUGGGCACAACCAGUGUCGGCUGCUGUUUUCCUGGGGCUCGCUGCUGACCAGCACCGAGAAGUCAUAGACUGGCCUCCUGUAUCUUCUGAGGACCAGCACAGAUCCUCCAGGGCCCUCAGGGGUGAAAAUGCCGGGAAGCAGCCCCGGGGUGAGCAGAAGCCCUUGGUUCAGGAGUGACGACUUGUGCAGAGGGAUGUGUCUCCACUGAUGAGUCACUGAUGAGGCCUGGCGGCUCCGGGCAGCAAGUGGAAGCAGCAGCUGCCCACUCCCCAGGCUGUUCCCGCGCUUCUGCACCAGAAUGGAGCCUCAGGCCGCAGGCGGGGAUCAAGCCAAACUGCAGGAAAGAAGAAUCAGGGUGUGCAGGACAGGCGUCCACCUGUCCCCUCAGAUGGAGAGAUGCCCGGCAGGUCCAGAGCCCAACCGCCCACACUGGGAGACAUCAAGUGGCUUUGCCUUUUUAAUCACGUGGGUGGACACAUGCCAAAUGCCCAUUUAGAAAUUACAGGACGAUCACUGAUGUGGGGAAAGAAACCAGUCCUGACUUACAGGGAGAAAUCAGCUUCCUGUGGUUUUAAUGAAAUAAGAAAAACAGACAGGAAACUUGAUUACAAAAAUAUGACAAACAACGGGUCCAAAUCUGCAGGCUUAUGUUAUGGGCGAUAAAGGGGGAAGGGAGACCCCGCGGAGAAGAGAGAAAAGCUAGAGGAUGUAAAGAGAAGGGUCUCGGGACCAUGGAGUGGCUUCCACUCACGCUUCCCGCGACACCCAGGUGCUCUCCUUUUCCCCAAAGGGCAGGAGUCCAACUCCAACUGACAGGAGAAUCACCCUUAGCACAGCCAUAAUCAAUCCAGAGGCUCCCCAAGAAACUCAAAUAGAGCCACCAGAAACCCAGCAUCCCACUGCCCGGUGUUUACCAGAAGAAUUGAAGCAGACACUUCAGAGACAGACACAUGCCGCGGCUAUCACAGCACGGUUCACGCCGGCCCUGUGGGGACCAGUCCAGGUGCCUGUGGACGGACGGAUGGGUAAAGAAAACAGGGCACAUAUCCAGGAUGGAGCCUCACUCUGUCAUGAAGAAUAUAAAAUUAUGUCAUUUGCAGGAAAAUGGGUGAAUUUGGAGAGCAUCAUGUUAAGUGAAAUAAGUCUCAGAAAGACCAGUGUGGACGUGGACAUGGACGCUAGAGGGGAAAAUGAGAAAAGGUUGUGGUGAAGGUAGAAGGGAGCCCCCGGGGCAGAGGGAGGGA
rnacentral:lncRNA from 1 species